rnacentral:rRNA from 1 species
UACGUAGGGUGCGAGCGUUGUCCGGAAUUAUUGGGCGUAAAGGGCUCGUAGGCGGUUUGUCGCGUCGGGAGUGAAAACCCAGGGCUUAACUCUGGGCUUGCUUUCGAUACGGGCAGACUAGAGGUAUGCAGGGGAGAACGGAAUUCCUGGUGUAGCGGUGAAAUGCGCAGAUAUCAGGAGGAACACCGGUGGCGAAGGCGGUUCUCUGGGCAUUACCUGACGCUGAGAGGCGAAAGCGUGGGGAGCGAACGGG